GGCUCAUUGGCCACAGGGAGUUGUCCCUCAUGAAGCCUACAGUGACACUGAUCAACAUCAGCAGAGGUGGGAAUAAUGUGUUUCCUGUACUAUAGUGUUUAGUGAUCACUGGUUCAGUGUAAUAACAAUUCUUUAUAAACCUCAGGUCUGGUUGUGAACCAGGACGCCUUACUUGCAGCUCUCAAUUCGUGCAGCGGCCUUAGAUGUGACUCAUCCUGAACCUUUACCAAGGUCUCCGACAGCGGCCCCUCCUCCUUUGGGCGGAGUUCGGUUGCUCCUCCCUGGCUGACCACCUGUGAGCAAUCAUGCCAGCAGUAUAUCAGACCUGCGCUCUCAACCAUUCAUCGCCUGAGUAUCUGCUAUCCCCAUAGGUAGCACCUGGAGUGGAGAUCUUGUCUCCCUCACUCCCGCCUUCCUGGACCUGGGCCGCCUGCUGCUAACACGACGUGGCCUGCCGGCCCACCGCUCACUUGCCUGCCUCCCCACGCCUCGACCGCUUCCGGGCUUCCGCCCCACCUGUCUCCUCCACCUGAAACCAAUGCCCCGGCCCCUGCCUAAUCCUGUUUCUACCUCCCCGCUGCCUCUGCUGUUCA
ensembl:lncRNA